UUUUUAGCAUAGAUAAUAAAAUAGGACGUGUGGUUAUAUUUUGUUGGUUUAUAGGACCGCUGUAAUGAUUAAUAGAGACAGUCGGGGGCAUCAGUAUUCAGUUGUCAGAGGUGAAAUUCUGGGAUGUAGUGAAGACUAACUAGUGAGAAAGCAUUUCCCAAGGAUGUUUUCAUUUAUAAGGAACGAAAGUUAGGGGAUGGAAGAGGAUCAGAUACCGUGGUAGUUUUAACUAUAAAUUAUGCCGAUUAGGGUUCGGAGGAUGUUAUUAUUUGACGCGUUGGGCCCCUUUCGAGAAAUCAAAGUGCUUGGGUUCCAGGGGGAGUAUGGUCCCAAGGUUGAAAUUUAAAGAAAUUGACGGAAGGCCACCCCCAGGGGUGGACCCUGCGGCUUAAUUUGACUCAACACGGGGAAACUCACCAGGUCCAGACACAGUGAGGAUUGACAGAUUGAGAGUUCUUUCUUGUUUUUGUGGGGGGUGGUCCAUGCCCGUUUUUAGUUGGUGGAGUGAUUUUUUUGUUUAAUUGCGAUAACGAACGAGACUUUAACCUGAUAAAUAGCCCGUAGCGUUUUGGCAGUUCGCCGGUUUUUUAGAGGGACUAUCGGCUCAAGCCGAUGGAAGUUUGACGCAAUCACAUGUGUGAGAUCCCCUUAGAUUUCGUGGCCGCACGCGCGUUACAGUCACAGAGCCAGAGAGUAUCUCCUUGGCCGGAAGGCUCCGGGUAAU
rnacentral:rRNA from 1 species